UCUCAAUAAACCUCACAUGGAACUGUUUGAUCUGGCGUGGUCCUUCUGAAGCCAUGGGACAGUCAGGAUCAUAACAUUGGUGCCGUGACUGGGACACUGGCCAUCCUGCUAAUGGAGCGACCUGUUCUUCCCUGUGGAGAGCGGCAGGCAGGACUCAGUGCCCAAAGCUGAGGGAAGAUACUGUCUAUGUGCCCUCUGGGGGGCUAGAAGGGGGCAAGCAGAGAGGAAGAGGAAACCACAAGGAAAGGAGAGAAAGAGAAGCCACAACGGGAUAGAAGAAGAACUCAUAGGAAAGGAGAAAGGAAGGCCACCAUGAGUUAGCUGAGCCAUAAAAAUCAAGGCCAUGAGGGUUGGCCAAUUGGAGCUAAGAGCAGCCCAGAUGAAACACGCCAGAAACCGGAAUCAGCCAGAAGUCAUCAACCUGGAAUAUUAUUCGGCUGUUGAGCAAAGUGAAAUGGUGAAAAUCACAGAGUCCAGGCCUAUGAACUCCAGAUGGUGCAGCCUCAGGGACAUCAGCUAUUACCAUCAACAUCAGCACCCACCACUGAUGACCUCUUGGCCGUCCAAGUGACAUCACCGACCUGCAUAGUUAUUGCCCAACCCCAAGAUGCUCCUGGAGCCUUCUCUACCCCACAGCCCUACCACCCCAUGUCGACUGGUAACACCACUUGAGGUCCUAACGCCCACUCAGGUCUGGGGCUGCCUCAGGAGACAGUCUCCAUCCCUUGUCAAUGGUUUGCCCCUGCUGACGCAUCAAGGGGUUGAAUGUGGAGACCAAAAAAAUCACAAUCAAGUAGAAACCAUCACACUUUAACAUUCAAGAGCUGUCCCAGCCUGACCUGUGACUUGUGACAUUUCACACAAACACAUCCCAACUCCUAUGACCUGUGAGGCCCCACCCCAAAUGCUAAUCUUAUAAGACAACAUGAAAGGACCGUCAGGAAGCCCUCUGUGGGCGGUGUUCCAGCCCAUGUGCUCUGAGUCGCUGCCUCUCCUUUCAGCUUGUUUUCUUA